GUCAGGAAAAUUCCUGCAGCUGCUGAGUUAGUACUUUUAAGAAAGCCCUGGAUUCCCUCUCACAAUGGGACUUCGAUUCUUUUAUUUUUUUGAGACGGAGUUUCGCUCUUGUUACCCAGGCUGGAGUGCAAUGGCGCGAUCUCGGCUCACCGCAACCUCCGCCUCCUGAGUUCAGGCAGUUCUCCUGCCUCAGCCUCCUGAGUAGCUGGGAUUACAGGCACGCACCACCAUGCCCAGCUAAUUUUUUGUAUUUUUAGUAGAGACGGGGUUUCACCAUGUUGACCAGGAUGAUCUCGAUAUCUUGACCUCGUGAUCCACCCGCCUCGGCCUCCCAAAGUGCUGGGAUUAGAGGUGUGAGCCACCGCGCCCGGCCUGGGACUUCGAUUCUUUUAAGGAAAAGAUUUCAGAAGUUUUCAAAUAACCUGGAGUAUCUGAACAAAGUUAGCCUGUGUGUGCUUCCCGCUGGCUGCGUUCGAGGGGCUGGGUCUCUCUGAGUGGAAGCUGGUGAGGGCGGAGGUGAGCGAAGGCUUAUCCGGGACUGGAGGAGAAGGGGACAGCCCGGGGAAUAAAAAGGAAAUUCUUCAUUGAGACGCAUGGAGAUGCUGUAUGUCAACGCUAGAGGAUGCCAGGCUGGGGAAGAAGAGAAGGUGCCCGAGGCCCGUGUGGAAGGCCUGUCACACAGCACGUCCCGCAAAAUCUGUCCAGGAAGCUGCCAGGCUGGCAUCGGCGUCUUCACUGUGCAAAUGAGGAAACUGAGGCACAGAGGUGAAGGGACAUGCCCAGGAUCACCAAGGCGAGAUGGGGUAAGAGCAGGGAUCUUGGGUGCAAUCUCGGCUUACUACAACCUCCGCCUCCCGGUUUCAAGCGAUUCUCCUGCUUCAGCCUCCUGAGUAGCUGGGAUUACAGGUGCCCGCAAUAAGGCCUGGCUAAUUUUUUGUAUUUUUACUAGAGAUGGGGUUUCACCAUGUUGGCCAGGCUGGUCUCGAACUCUGAUCUCAGGUGAUCUGCCUUGCUCUGUCCCUUAGGGACCUGACCUUUGUGUUUCAGACACCAGCAAAUCACCUCAUUCUUCUUACAGUUCACUGUUUUCCUGAGCUGGAGCCACGGUCUGGGUAGCUGUCCCUUGGCGAGGGGCAUUCAGGGUUCCAGCAGUCACAUGCCACAGUAAACAAGCUUCAUAAACAUCCCACGAUAAAUGUGGAGAGAACCCCUGUAGGGACGAUGACUCUACGUGGAAUUGCUGGGAAGAGCGUGUCAGUUUUAAAUGUUGGCAAUCACUCAUCAUGGUGGUCAUUCAUUCUUCCCCCAGCCAGGGCUGGUGUUCCUGUGUCCUCUCCUUACCGGUGUUUACUUGUUGGCAACGUGGCAGGUGAAACAUGUACUCUGCCUUUAAACAAUUAUACUUGGCUGGGCAUGGUGGCUCAUGCCUCUAAUCCCAGAGCUUUCAGAAACCGAGGUGGGUGGAUUGCUUGAGGCCCAGAGUUUGAGAGUAGUUUUGGCAACACGGCGAGACCCUGUCUCUACAAGAAAAAGAAGAAUCAGCGUGGCGUAGCAGAGCACGCCUGUGGUCCCAGCUACUGGGGAGGCUGAAGUGGGAGGAUUGCUUGAGCCUGUCUCAGAACAAACAAACAAACAAAAAUAAGGCAAAGAAAAAAUGCACAGUUUCAAAACACAGUUUUAAACACAUUUGGGAAAAUAUAGGCAGUAGAAAUAACAGUUGUGCUCUUAAUGGCUCAGACAGGGCUAGGCCCAUGGUAGGUGCUCAUUAAAUAUGUAUUAAGGAAGUGAAUAAGGAAGAAAACCCGUAGCUCUGCCAGUGAGAAACGCUUGUCAACAUUUCACUGCGUUUGUUUUCCCUGAGUAUUUUUUCCUCCACAUAAUUUAGCUUUG
rnacentral:lncRNA from 13 species